AUUGAACGCUGGCGGCAGGCUUAACACAUGCAAGUCGAGCGGAGAUGAGGUGCUUGCACCUUAUCUUAGCGGCGGACGGGUGAGUAAUGCUUAGGAAUCUGCCUAUUAGUGGGGGACAACAUUCCGAAAGGAAUGCUAAUACCGCAUACGUCCUACGGGAGAAAGCAGGGGAUCUUCGGACCUUGCGCUAAUAGAUGAGCCUAAGUCGGAUUAGGUAGUUGGUGGGGUAAAGGCCUACCAAGGCGACGAUCUGUAGCGGGUCUGAGAGGAUGAUCGGCCACACUGGGACUGAGACACGGCCCAGACUCCUACGGGAGGCAGCAGUGGGGAAUAUUGGACAAUGGGGGGAACCCUGAUCCAGCCAUGCCGCGUGUGUGAAGAAGGCCUUAUGGUUGUAAAGCACUUUAAGCGAGGAGGAGGCUACUGAGACUAAUACUCUUGGAUAGCGGACGUUACUCGCAGAAUAAGCACCGGCUAACUCUGUGCCAGCCGCCGCAGUAAGAC
rnacentral:rRNA from 1 species